GAUCGAGUGGCGGACGGGUGAGUAACGCGUGGGUAACCUGCCUCAUACAGGGGAAUAACAGUUGGAAACGGCUGCUAAAACCGCAUAAGCGCACGGUAUCGCAUGAUACAGUGUGAAAAACUCCGGUGGUAUGAGAUGGACCCGCGUCUGAUUAGCUAGUUGGUGAGGUAACGGCCCACCAAGGCAACGAUCAGUAGCCGGCCUGAGAGGGUGAACGGCCACAUUGGGACUGAGACACGGCCCAAACUCCUACGGGAGGCAGCAGUGGGGAAUAUUGCACAAUGGGGGAAACCCUGAUGCAGCGACGCCGCGUGAGUGAUGAAGUAUUUCGGUAUGUAAAGCUCUAUCAGCAGGGAAGAUAAUGACGGUACCUGACUAAGAAGCACCGGCUAAAUACGUGCCAGCAGCCGCGGUAAUACGUAUGGUGCAAGCGUUAUCCGGAUUUACUGGGUGUAAAGGGUGCGUAGGUGGUGAGACAAGUCUGAAGUGAAAAUCCGGGGCUUAACCCCGGAACUGCUUUGGAAACUGCCUGACUAGAGUACAGGAGAGGUAAGUGGAAUUCCUAGUGUAGCGGUGAAAUGCGUAGAUAUUAG
rnacentral:rRNA from 1 species